UACGUAGGGGGCAAGCGUUGUCCGGAUUUAUUGGGCGUAAAGAGCGUGUAGGCGGCCAGGUAGGUCCGUUGUGAAAACUCGAGGCUCAACCUCGAGACGCCGAUGGAAACCAUCUGGCUAGAGUCCGGAAGAGGAGAGUGGAAUUCCUGGUGUAGCGGUGAAAUGCGCAGAUAUCAGGAGGAACACCGAUGGCGAAGGCAGGUCUCUGGGCUGACACUGACGCUCAUGCACGAAAGCGUGGGGAGCAAACAGG
rnacentral:rRNA from 1 species